rnacentral:misc_RNA from 1 species
UUGAACCAAAUGCUCAGCCCUAGUUACACGUGACAAGCAUUUGAAAACAAGGUUUUAAAAUCCGACCCAAUCAUUGAACCAAUGAAAACAGAGAGCUAUGGUUUUAAAAUUCAACCAUGGUUGAACUGGAGUUUAUCCACUAUACAGUAAAUAAAUAUUAAUUAGAUAUCAUAAAAUUAAUGGUCCCUUCAAAAAUAAUCAUAAAUAUUUCAAUUAAUAGUUUAAUAUAUUUUAUUAAGAAUUGCUAAAAUAAAG